AGUGGAGAGGAGCCAUACCAGCUUGUUGGGGCAACUAUCUCAGACCCUUUAGAUGAGUACAAGAAGGCUGUUGUUUCCAUAAUAGAGGAAUACUUUAGUACUGGUGAUGUGGAAGUGGCAGCAUCUGAUCUCAGAGAACUUGGCUCAAGCCAAUAUCAUCCUUAUUUUAUCAAGCGGCUCGUUUCCAUGGCUAUGGACCGGCAUGAUAAAGAGAAGGAAAUGGCUUCUGUUCUGCUAUCUUCUCUGUAUGCCGCUGUAAUCAGCCCAUUGCAGAUUAGGGAUGGGUUUGUCAUCCUUCUUGAGUCUGCUGAUGAUCUAGCUGUAGACAUAUUAGAUGCAGUUGACAUCCUUGCUUUGUUCAUAGCUCGUGCUGUGGUGGAUGAUAUCCUUCCUCCAGCAUUCCUCACUAGGGCAAAGAAGACCCUUCCAGAGUCCUCAAAGGGAUUUCGGGUUCUCCAAAUUGCUGAGAAGAGCUAUCUCUCAGCCCCACACCACGCAGAACUUGUGGAGAGGAGGUGGGGUGGUAGCACUCACGUCACUGUUGAGGAAGUAAAGAAAAAGAUUGCUGAUCUGUUGAGAGAAUAUGUGGAGAAUGGGGAUGCUUUUGAGGCAUGUAGGUGCAUAAGGGAAUUGGGGGUUUCGUUUUUUCAUCAUGAGGUUGUCAAGAGGGCUUUAAUUCUUGCCAUGGAGAUUCGGACUGCUGAACAGCUUAUGUUAAAGCUGUUAAAGGAGGCUUCUGAGGAAGGCUUGAUAAGUUCCAGUCAAAUGGUGAAGGGUUUUGCUCGGCUCACAGAGAGCCUUGAUGACCUUGCUCUUGACAUUC
rnacentral:misc_RNA from 1 species